AUGGAGAUGAGCCUAGUCCUGCUGUUCCUGAUCCGCACUGCCCUUUUUGCACCCCAGGGAGCUGCUGCUGAGCCCCACAGUCUUUGUUACAACCUCACGGUGCUGUCCCGGGAUGGAUCUGUGCAGUCAGGGUUUCUCGCUGAGGGACAUCUGGAUGGUCAGCUCUUCCUGCUCUGUGACAGGCAGAAAGGCAGGGCAGGGCCCCGGGGACAGUGGGCAGAAGCAGUCCUGGGAGCUGAGACCUGGGACACAGAGACUGAAGACUUGACAGAGAAUGGGCAGGAGCUCAGGAGGACCCUGGAUCAUAUCAAGGGCCAGAAAGGAGCCUUGCAUUCCCUCCAGGAGAUUAGGGUUUGUGAGAUCAGGAAGCCAGCAGCACCAGGGGCUUUAGGCAUUUCUACACAUAUGGGAAGCUCUUCCUCUCUCCCAACCUGGAGACUCAGUAAUGGACAGUGCCCCGGUCCUCCAGAGCUCAGACUUUGGCUAUGAAUGUCACAAAUUUCUGGGAGGAAAAUGCCAUGCAGACCAAGACACACUAUUGCCCUGUGCAGGCAGACUACAUGCAAAAGCUAUGGUGAUAUCUGAAAUUCUGGAGGUAUCAGAAAAACAGGUACUGUGAAAGUAUGAAUGAGAUGCACAGUGGGGCCUUAGAAGGCAAUGUCACCAUGAUGUGCUGGCCUCCAUCUUCUAUCCCUGGAAUAUCUCUCUGACCUGGCAUCAGGAUGAGGCAUCUUUGAGCCAGGAUGCCCAGCAGUCUAGGGGUGUCCUGCCCAAUGGGAAUGGGACCUACCAGACCUGCAUGGCCACCAGGAUUCCCCGAGGAGAGGAGCAGAGGUUCACCUGCUACAUGGGACACAGAGGGAAUCACAGCACUCACCCUGUGCCCUCUGAGAAGGCCCUGGUGCUUCAGAGUCAAUGGCAGCCAUUCUGUAUGCUGCUAUUGCUACUGUCAUUAUUAUUAGUAUUAGUAGUAGUAGUAGUAUUCUCUGUGUCCUUUGGUGCAAGAAGAAGACAACAUCAGCUGCAGAGUCCAGAGCACGUGAGCCUGCAAGGCCCGGAUCAACGCCCGGUUGGGACAGGAGACCACCAGGGCAGUGCACAGCUGGGAUUUCAGUCUCUGGUGUCAACUCCUGGGUCUACUGGCUCCACUGAGGGCAGC
rnacentral:lncRNA from 1 species